GGAGCAUGAGGCUGUGAUUGGAGGUUUUAAGUGCCUCUAUCACCUCACAAAGAGGGAGCAGGCACACCACACAAAUUACCCUGCUCUCCUUGAACUCGCAGAGCUACUGGGGUGUGAUUACUUCAAAAAGCUAAAGAUUGGGAAAUAUGCAAAUUAUACAAGCCAUCGAAUCAUUGAUGAGAUGCUAGAAAUAAUCAACACUGUGGUGGAAGAGCCUAUUCUGGAGGAGAUCCGAGCAUCUGUGGCCAUCGGAUUGGAGGUGGAUGAAACCACAGAUGUCGCCAUAAAUCGUCAACUUGAUCUGCAUGUUAGAUACACUGAUAAGGAAGGGCAGCUGUUUAGCCAGUUCUUGGACCUGAUCAGUAUCCCUGAUGGCAAAGCUAACACAGUUGUUGCAGCCAUCAGGGAUGUUCUGAGAAAAAAGGACAUUCCUACAUCAAAAUUGUAUGGGUUAGGUACAGAUGGAGCUGCUGUCAUGACU
ensembl:lncRNA